rnacentral:rRNA from 20 species
CGGGAACUCAAAGGAGACUGCCAGUGAUAAACUGGAGGAAGGUGGGGAUGACGUCAAGUCAUCAUGGCCCUUACGACCAGGGCUACACACGUGCUACAAUGGCGCAUACAAAGAGAAGCGACCUCGCGAGAGCAAGCGGACCUCAUAAAGUGCGUCGUAGUCCGGAUUGGAGUCUGCAACUCGACUCCAUGAAGUCGGAAUCGCUAGUAAUCGUGGAUCAGAAUGCCACGGUGAAUACGUUCCCGGGCCUUGUACACACCGCCCGUCACACCAUGGGAGUGGGUUGCAAAAGAAGUAGGUAGCUUAACCUUCGGGAGGGCGCUUACCACUUUGUGAUUCAUGACUGGGGUGAAGUCGUAACAAGGUAACCGUAGGGGAACCUGCGGUUGGAUCACCUCCUUACCUUAAAGAA